rnacentral:lncRNA from 1 species
GCCAGGGCGACGGAAACACCGCGCGACUCACGCUUGUGGUGUUGAUUUGCUCUCUUUGUACCUUUUGUUUUUAACCAACUGUAAUCAACCAGCUGGAGCAGGGAUAAAACCAACUAAAGACUCCCUCGCUACCGUGAGCUUCGUGCAUCCGGGACACCCAGACGGCCUGGCAUCCUGCCCUGGUGACGCCGCCCCCAAGCCCUCCAGCUCCCCACAGAUGAUGCUACCCUCAUCUGAGAGACUGCAGAGGAUACCAUAUAUCACAGAAAACCCACCACACUGCUGGCCCUUAGAGAAGAAAUUAAAAACGCAUGUGCGGCGAUCUCAAAGACCAAGGUUACCCAAGCAGCAGCCGGCUGUACUAAUAAAUGUCUGGAAGCUGAUGGCCACCAUUCUGAGCACUUCUUGUAAUUAGAGGCCAAAGAUGACUUGUGUCAAUCUCAUGGUAUCUCAGUAAGUUCAGUAUUAAAAU